CAGCCGCCACGGGAAUACGUAGGGCGCAAGCGUUGUCCGGAAUUAUUGGGCGUAAAGAGCUCGUAGGCGGUUUGUCGCGUCUGGUGUGAAAACCUCAGGCUCAACCUGGGGCGUGCAUCGGGUACGGGCAGACUAGAGUGCGGUAGGGGAGACUGGAAUUCCUGGUGUAGCGGUGGAAUGCGCAGAUAUCAGGAGGAACACCGAUGGCGAAGGCAGGUCUCUGGGCCGCAACUGACGCUGAGGAGCGAAAGCAUGGGGAGCGAACAGGAUUAGAUACCCCAGUAGUCCCUGUCUCUUAUAC
rnacentral:rRNA from 1 species